AUUGAACGCUGGCGGUAGGCCUAACACAUGCAAGUCGAACGCGAAAGUCCUUCGGAUGAGUAGAGUGGCGGACGGGUGGAGUAACGCGUAGGAAUCUAUCCUGUAGUGGGGGAGUAACGUUUCGAAAGGAACGCUAAUACCGCAUACGCCCCACGGGGAAAGCGGGGAGUCCUUCGGGACCUCGCGCUAUAGGAAGAGCCUGCGUCGGAUUAGCUAGUUGGUAGGGUAAAGGCCUACCAAGGCGACGAUCCGUAGCUGGUCUGAGAGGAUGAUCAGCCACACCGGAACUGAGACACGGUCCGGACUCCUACGGGAGGCAGCAGUGGGGAAUAUUGCGCAAUGGGCGAAAGCCUGACGCAGCCAUGCCGCGUGUGUGAAGAAGGCC
rnacentral:rRNA from 1 species